rnacentral:rRNA from 1 species
AUUGAACGCUGGCGGCAGGCCUAACACAUGCAAGUCGAGCGGAUGACGGGAGCUUGCUCCUUGAUUCAGCGGCGGACGGGUGAGUAAUGCCUAGGAAUCUGCCUGGUAGUGGGGGACAACGUUUCGAAAGGAACGCUAAUACCGCAUACGUCCUACGGGAGAAAGCAGGGGACCUUCGGGCCUUGCGCUAUCAGAUGAGCCUAGGUCGGAUUAGCUAGUUGGUGAGGUAAUGGCUCACCAAGGCGACGAUCCGUAACUGGUCUGAGAGGAUGAUCAGUCACACUGGAACUGAGACACGGUCCAGACUCCUACGGGAGGCAGCAGUGGGGAAUAUUGGACAAUGGGCGAAAGCCUGAUCCAGCCAUGCCGCGUGUGUGAAGAAGGUCUUCGGAUUGUAAAGCACUUUAAGUUGGGAGGAAGGGCAGUAAGUUAAUACCUUGCUGUUUUGGCGUUACCGACAGAAUAAGCACCAGCUAACUCUGUGCCAGCCGCCGCCGUAACAC